rnacentral:rRNA from 1 species
UAACCUGCCCAAGAGAUCGGGAUAACACCUGGAAACAGAUGCUAAUACCGGANAACAACAGAUGAUGCCUAUCAACUGUUUAAAAGAUGGUUCUGCUAUCACUCUUGGAUGGACCUGCGGUGCAUUAGCUAGUUGGUAGGGUAACGGCCUACCAAGGCGAUGAUGCAUAGCCGAGUUGAGAGACUGAUCGGCCACAUUGGGACUGAGACACGGCCCAAACUCCUACGGGAGGCAGCAGCU